AGGCUCAGAACCUGGAAGUUCUUUAACCUCACAGCUAUGGUAGAUGCCUGGUCCUGAUAAAUGGAGUAAUUUGAUACGCACCAUGGAGCGUUGACAAUAUUUUGUUGUAAUAUUUCUGUAUUGAAGGUACUUUCAGUGCCGCAAAGUUUUGAAGCAACUGUCUAUACUGGUUUAAUUUUUUCAGGCAAGUCUACGGUCCAAAUUUAUCCCCAGUUACUUCACAGAAUCAUAUUGCGGGAUUGCAAUAUUAUCAAGUCUAACUUGUGGACAGUAUGUUUAGUAGAUAUGUGUGCUUUAUCCUCUAUCAAUGAUUUUACUUGAGUUUUAAAUUUAUCUACACAAUCAAUAUCAUCAUCUUCACUGAGGAUCUCAUUAUAAUUUUUUGUGUUGAAGAAAUCGGAUCCACAGUCCAUUAUGGCUUUUUUACGUACAACUUCAGGUGGUUUUUGGUUUGCCCGUUUGUGUGUACUGGAUUUGGCAACAAAACUCUCUGCCUGGCUGGCAUACUAAUUUCGUUGUCAUCAUUUUUUGACAUCGCGUUAAG